GAUGAACGCUAGCUACAGGCUUAACACAUGCAAGUCGAGGGGAAACGAUAUUGGAAGCUUGCUUCCGAUAGGCGUCGACCGGCGCACGGGUGAGUAACGCGUAUCCAACCUGCCCACCACUUGGGGAUAACCUUGCGAAAGUAAGACUAAUACCCAAUGAUAUCUCAAGAAGACAUCUGAAUGAGAUUAAAGAUUUAUCGGUGAUGGAUGGGGAUGCGUCUGAUUAGCUUGUUGGCGGGGUAACGGCCCACCAAGGCGACGAUCAGUAGGGGUUCUGAGAGGAAGGUCCCCCACAUUGGACCUGGGACACGGUCCAAACUCCUACGGGAGGCAGCAGUGAGGAAUAUUGGUCAAUGGGCGAGAGCCUGAACCAGCCAAGUAGCGUGCAGGAUGACGGCCCUAUGGGUUGUAAACUGCUUUUAUAAGGGAAUAAAGUGAGCCUCGUGAGGCUUUUUGCAUGUACCUUAUGAAUAAGGACCGGCUAAUUCCGUGCCAGCCGCCGCCGUAA
rnacentral:rRNA from 1 species